GCCGGGUGCGGUGGUGCACGCCUAUAAUCCCGACAGCUCAGGAGGCUGAGGCAGGAGGAUUGUGAGUUCAAAGCCAGCCUCAACAACUUAGUGAGACCUUGUCUCUA
rnacentral:sRNA from 1 species